UAUCGGGUUGAUAACUAGGCUACGGUUUCAAAUAUGCUCGACGACCUUUGCCCUUUAAGUACCCGAAAGAUUGAGAUUUACUCUUGCGAUCGAUCUUACACAUAGCUUUCUUUCUUUUUGAUGUCUGGUUAUGUUUAUUCGAUCGCUACAAAC
rnacentral:snoRNA from 1 species